rnacentral:rRNA from 1 species
AGGUUGACCUCGGAUCAGGUAGGGAUACCCGCUGAACUUAAGCAUAUCAAUAAGCGGAGGAAAAGAAACCAACAGGGAUUGCUCUAGUAACGGCGAGUGAAGCAGCAAUAGCUCAAAUUUGAAAUCUGGCGUCUUCGACGUCCGAGUUGUAAUUUGUAGAGGAUGCUUCUGAGUAACCACCGACCUAAGUUCCUUGGAACAGGACGUCGUAGAGGGUGAGAAUCCCGUAUGCGGUCGGAAAGGUGCUCUAUACGUAGCUCCUUCGACGAGUCGAGUUGUUUGGGAAUGCAGCUCUAAAUGGGAGGUAAAUUUCUUCUAAAGCUAAAUAUUGGCCAGAGACCGAUAGCGCACAAGUAGAGUGAUCGAAAGAUGAAAAGCACUUUGGAAAGAGAGUUAAAAAGCACGUGAAAUUGUUAAAAGGGAAGGGAUUGCAACCAGACUUGCUCGCGGUGUUCCGCCGGUCUUCUGACCGGUCUACUCGCCGCGUUGCAGGCCAGCAUCGUCUGGUGCCGCUGGAUAAGACUUGAGGAAUGUAGCUCCCUCGGGAGUGUUAUAGCCUCUUGUGAUGCAGCGAGCGCCGGGCGAGGUCCGCGCUUCGGCUAGGAUGCUGGCGUAAUGGUCGUAAUCCGCCCGUCUUGAAACACGGACCAAGGAGUCUAACAUCUAUGCGAGUGUUCGGGUGUCAAACCCCUACGCGUAAUGAAAGUGAACGGAGGUGAGAACCGCAAGGUGCAUCAUCGACCGAUCCUGAUGUCUUCGGAUGGAUUUGAGUAAGAGCAUAGCUGUUGGGACCCGAAAGAUGGUGAACUAUGCCUGAAUAGGGUGAAGCCAGAGGAAACUCUGGUGGAGGCUCGCAGCGGUUCUGACGUGCAAAUCGAUCGUCAAAUUUGGGUAUAGGGGCGAAAGACUAAUCGAACCAUCUAGUAGCUGGUUCCUGCCGAAGUUUCCCUCAGGAUAGCAGUAACGUUUUCAGUUUUAUGAGGUAAAGCGAAUGAU